rnacentral:rRNA from 1 species
AUGCGAGUUGGUGAUGAUGGUGUGUCCGCCUUUAUGUCUACACUGUUUGAUCUGGAUCAUAGGGCUGAGGUUGAAACACGGCGUCCCCGAACGCCCUGCGGUGUGUCAAGUCUGAAUGUUCUCCUUCUGUCGCGAAAGAAGCCGAGUCUUCCAGACCGAAAGCCCUCUCAAAUUCCUCCCCGCCAGCAAGGGUGGAAUCCCCGCUCUAUCGAAUCCUCUCCUUCCUUCUCUAGAAAAAACAAAAACAACAGGGGGCGAAGUAGAGGCUGGUGGCUCCCGCCGGCGAGGUCGUGGUUCCCCGUCGCCUCCGUGCGUCUUGCAGGCGCGGGGAGGAGUCAGGGAAUCCGGAUCUCUGCCUGGCUGGGUUGUAUAGUUUUAGGAUUUUCUAGAAUUUUGGUUCUUGGCGGCAGUGGUGAGGCGAGGGCAGCGCUGCCGUUUGAGAAUAAGUCCCUCCGGUCCUCUCCUCGUGCAAGUGGCGUCGACUCCGGCGUCGUUGGCGGAUCAGUGCAGCCGGGGUGCUCGGGUUCUGGUGCUCCAGCUACUCGGUGCCCUGGUUGUGUUGUUUGGGUAUUAGCGUCCGUUGUUUCGGCAUCCUGUGGUGAUGACGGCACCUCCCUCUUGAGGGAUGUUGAAGGUGACUGCGUAGGAUUUGGAUGCGCGACGGACAGAUCUGGUCGUCUCGGACGAGACGGCGUGGCUCCAUGCCCGGAUCUGAAGCUGGAGAGGCUGGGGGAGUGCUUCCGCUCGGGAAACUGCCUCCGGCCGUUGCGCCUGAAGCUCUCAAAUCCUGCUUUUUGGAGUAGGUGGCUGUUGCAGCUCACCAAAGCUUCAGUGCGAGGGGCCAAGUACGCCGCUGGUGCUGUCAAUCCCCGGCGCCUCUUUUGCCUCCUCCUCUGCUGCAGCAGCCCAAUGUCCCACCACACCUCCUCCUUGCUGUCUCCGCCGCCGCGUCCCCCGUCUCCUCCGACGCCAACCUCCACUUGUAAGUCGGCUACGCUCUGCUCAUGCCCCCCGAGGGCCCCUAGCCGUCUGCAACUAGAGUGUCACCCACGAGCACCAAACCUGUGUUAUCUCCAGCCGGACUUCGUCUCAGGGACGACCUGA